UACGGAGGGUGCGAGCGUUGUCCGGAAUCACUGGGCGUAAAGGGCGCGUAGGCGGCGCGGGCAGUCAACGGUGAAAGCUUGGGGCUCAACCCCGAGUCGGCCGUCGAUACUCCCGUGCUUGAGCACUGUAGAGGCAGGUGGAAUUCCGGGUGUAGCGGUGGAAUGCGUAGAGAUCAGGAAGAACACCGGUGGCGAAAGCGUUCUGCUGGGCUGCGACUGACACUGAGGGACGAAAGCUAGGGGAGCGAAUGGG
rnacentral:rRNA from 1 species